AUUGAACGCUGGCGGCAUGCUUUACACAUGCAAGUCGAACGGCAGCGCGGGCUUCGGCCUGGCGGCGAGUGGCGAACGGGUGAGUAAUACAUCGGAACGUGCCCAGUAGUGGGGGAUAGCUCGGCGAAAGCCGGAUUAAUACCGCAUACGACCUGAGGGUGAAAGCGGGGGAUCUUCGGACCUCGCGCUCUUUGAGCGGCCGAUGGCAGAUUAGCUAGUUGGUGGGGUAAAGGCCUACCAAGGCGACGAUCUGUAGCUGGUCUGAGAGGACGACCAGCCACACUGGGACUGAGACACGGCCCAGACUCCUACGGGAGGCAGCAGUGGGGAAUUUUGGACAAUGGGCGAAAGCCUGAUCCAGCAAUGCCGCGUGUGUGAUGAAGGCCUUCGGGUUGUAAAGCACUUUUGGCGGGAACGAAAAGGACUGUGCCAAUACCACGGUUCGAUGACGGUACCCGCAGAAUAAGCACCGGCUAACUACGUG
rnacentral:rRNA from 1 species